rnacentral:rRNA from 1 species
AGUGAACGCUGGCGGUAGGCCUAACACAUGCAAGUCGAACGGCAGCACAGGAGAGCUUGCUCUCUAGGUGGCGAGUGGCGGACGGGUGAGGAGUACAUCGGAAUCUGCCCAGUCGUGGGGGAUAACGUAGGGAAACUUACGCUAAUACCGCAUACGACCUUCGGGUGAAAGAGGGGGAUCGCAAGACCUCUCGCGAUUGGAUGAGCCGAUGUCGGAUUAGCUAGUUAGCGGGGUAAUGGCCCACCAAGGCGACGAUCCGUAGCUGGUCUGAGAGGAUGAUCAGCCACACUGGAACUGAGACACGGUCCAGACUCCUACGGGAGGCAGCAGUGGGGAAUAUUGGACAAUGGGCGCAAGCCUGAUCCAGCCAUACCGCGUGGGUGAAGAAGGCCUUCGGGUUGUAAAGCCCUUUUGUUGGGAAAGAAAUCUUUCAGGCUAAUACCCUGGGAGGAUGACGGUACCCAAAGAAUAAGCACCGGCUAACUUCGUG